CCUACGGGAGGCAGCAGUGAGGAAUAUUGGUCAAUGGGCGCAAGGCUGAACCAGCCAAGUAGCGUGAGGGAUGACUGCCCUACGGGUUGUAAACUUCUUUUAUGAGGGAAUAAAGUGGUCCACGUGUGCCUGUUUGUAGGUACUUUAUGAAUAAGGACCGGCUAACUCCGUGCCAGCAGCCGCGGUAAUACGGAGGAUCCGGGCGUUAUCCGGAUUUAUUGGGUGUAAAGGGAGCGUAGGCGGCAAUGUAAGUGCGGCGUGGAAUUCUGUAGCUCAACCGCCGAAGUGCGGUGGAAACUGGAGGCCUUGAGUGCACGAAGGGUAAGCGGAAUUCGUGGUGUAGCGGUGAAAUGCUUAGAUAUCACGAAGAACCCCGAUUGCGAAGGCAGCCUACUGGAGUGUUACUGACGUUGAGGCUCGAAAGCGUGGGGAGCAAACAGGAUUAGAUACCCGAGUAGUC
rnacentral:rRNA from 1 species